AGUGAACGCUGGCGGUAGGCCUAACACAUGCAAGUCGAACGGCAGCACAGUAAGAGCUUGCUCUUACGGGUGGCGAGUGGCGGACGGGUGAGGAAUACAUCGGAAUCUACUUUUUCGUGGGGGAUAACGUAGGGAAACUUACGCUAAUACCGCAUACGACCUACGGGUGAAAGCAGGGGAUCUUCGGACCUUGCGCGAUUGAAUGAGCCGAUGUCGGAUUAGCUAGUUGGCGGGGUAAAGGCCCACCAAGGCGACGAUCCGUAGCUGGUCUGAGAGGAUGAUCGGCCACACUGGAACUGAGACACGGUCCAGACUCCUACGGGAGGCAGCAGUGGGGAAUAUUGGACAAUGGGCGCAAGCCUGAUCCAGCCAUACCGCGUGGGUGAAGAAGGCCUUCGGGUUGUAAAGCCCUUUUGCUGGGAAAGAAAAGCAGCAGGUUAAUACCCCGCUGUUCUGACGGUACCCAAAGAAUAAGCACCGGCUAACUUCGU
rnacentral:rRNA from 1 species